UCCGUAGGCGGGCGAUUAAGUCAGAGGUGAAAUCCCACAGCUUAACUGUGGAACUGCCUUUGAUACUGGUUGUCUUGAGUUACAGUGAAGUAGAUAGAAUAUGUAGUGUAGCGGUGAAAUGCAUAGAUAUUACAUAGAAUACCGAUUGCGAAGGCAGUCUACUAACUGUCGACUGACGCUGAUGGACGAAAGCGUGGGGAGCGAACA
rnacentral:rRNA from 1 species